rnacentral:lncRNA from 1 species
UACAUAUAUAACAGUUCUUCAGAGCCUUAUAUAAUACAUAUGAAGUUGUGGCAAAGAGACUUUGCUUACUGAUACAGUAAACUAAUACAAGGCUAAUGAACAGGCCAACAGCGCUAAAGAAACUGAUUUGUAUGUGACUGAUGUUGGCAUGGUGCCCUUGUCCUUGCGGAAAAAGAGCCCUUGGUAUACGGGCAGGUUGAUGAGAACAAGAACCCCACAUAAGAUAAUCUGCAGAGCCAAUGACUCCAAAGGUUUAAUUUGAAUAUCCACAACCACCCUCUUUACACCACAAACAAAACUGAACAGAUUGAGCAAUGCAAGUGUAGCUGAAAUGGUAAACAUUGGUGAAGGAGAACCAAACUCCAUGAUUUCUUGUUCGUAUCUUUGAGACACAUCUUCAUCACACACCUUUGCAGUGACAGCAAAAGUGGUCUCAGCAAAGCCUAGUAUCCUCAAGAUUGUAUCAAGGAAGCCAAAGAAGUAGGAAGUUGUCCUUCUGAACAUCCAUAUUCUUUGAUCAUUCCACCAACCUUGGAUUGUGCCACCAUACCAAUGAAACUCACCUAAGCUGUAUGCAUGCUUGGCAAUAAUGACAUAGGCAAAGGGAAGGACCCACAGGCUCCAUAUCUGAAAAAGUAACAUAAUUCAUUGCCGGGAACCAAAUAGCAUUUCAAUUGUUUGGAUACAGCAAAGUGUCAUGUCAGGACUUCUCUUUCUAAAAUGGAAGAAGAAAAGCACAUAGUUCUUUUCGAAGUAUUUAGGAAAAUCUAUCAUGUUGAGAAACUAAAUUUAUUGUGAAUAAUUUGAGAAAUUUUGCUAGCUAGUGAUCAUACAUUAUAGAACAAUGUUGCCUGUGCUUGACAGUAAGUAUUUUGCAGUUCUGUACUACUCAAAAGUUUUUAAGUUUGGAAGUAUUUGUUUAAAUGAUGUAAUGUUCAUACCUCUGGAAACAAGGAGAUGCCUCCAAGGAGACAAAGGGAUGGGACAGCAACAUAGCAUAGCAUAGCCAAGGAGUAUGCAGCCCACAGAUUAUAGAUAGAGUAUGCGAGUUGAAGUUUCAGAGGAACCUUUUUGUGUCCAUAUAUAAAUGGACAGUGUCUCGAGAGAAACAUCUGAAGGUGGCCUUCAGACCAUCUCUUGUGUUGUACUAGUGACUGCAACAGUGUUGUGGGCGCAACACCCAAGAAGCCCUUCCUUUCUGGAUUGACAUAGACGGAUCUCCAACCUCUACAUUGUAUUGAGAAUCCUGUGAUAAUGUCUUCCACUGCACAAUCAUACUUCACGCCCAUCUGCAAUUCAACAUAAAGAUUAAGUUUUUUAGCUUAAGAAAAGGAAAAAGCUUUACAGGCAGGAAAUUCAUGAGACAGAGACAGAAGAACCUCCUUUCCCCAUUGACUGUUCUCUUCGUAGGUACAACUUGCAAGGACCUUACAUGAUUCUUCUAGUACACUAGCACUUUCUCUUCCUCUUCUGCCAUUCUCUUUCUUCCAUUCUCUCUCACAUUCCUUGUCAUAUUUCAUUCCACACAGUGCCACUCUCCUAUGAAAGCACCCGGUACCAAUAUAGAAAGGUCCUCCAUUAGAAUCAAGGCCUGGAAAUUCCACCUUUUUCACCAGUCAUGCCAAAAGCCAACAAUAAAAUCAUUAGGAAGUCAUUGCUAAUGCCUACCUCCUCUAGGCCAAGCAGUAAGGAAUAAAUAAUUCUUUCAAAUCUUGCCUACCUCAAUAAUCACCCUAAAGCAGUUGCCAUAUAAGUCAUUCCUAGUAAGAUUAUCGUAGCACUGUGGAAACUGGACAUAAGCAAUUUCAUGGCCCUUCUCUUCAUCCAUGAAAAAACACACAGCAUCUCUCACUGAUUCUGAAUUGUUGGAGUACAUGUCACAGUCCACAUUAAGAAUAAUCGAGCCAUUGCUUAUCUUUGAUGACACCCUUAUCUGUUCAACAAAAUCAGAGUCACCUACAUUAAGAUAAUUGGCAGUGGUUCACUGUAGGAAAGCUGAAGUCAUUUAAGCUUACGAGUGCAUUCAUGGCUCCAGCUUUAAAAUUGUGAUGGUAUUGGGGUCUCUUCUCACGGGACAAGUAUACUAGAGUUGGCAAAGGUUGUCCUUCAGAGUCCACAGCCUUGGGGUCUCUCCCAUCAAUCACUAUCUGUUACUUUAUAUAAUAUUAGCAAAAGAUGAAUCAAAGAUAAAUAUGAAGAAAAACUUAGUAGAGAUGUAUUGAUUUUCAAGAAGAAAUCUCUUGGAAUAGGAAAAAAUACACAAAUUAGUAGAAUAACUACUUGAACAAUGGACUGAUGGUCAUGCCGUGUUGAAGCACUGUUCCACUCCAGAAAUCCCUUGUCCUCCUUUCUUAUUUCUUCUGAAAUCCUGCCCAGUCUAGUGGUGGUUUCAAUUCUAUUCUUCAUUUCUUCAUACAAUUCCUAUAAUGAGAAAAGGAAUAGAAGUUCUAAAUCAUAUGUAGAAAAACUCUAAAAAGAUUUGCCUAGUAUGGGAGUCACACAUACUCAUUAUAACAUGGAAAGAGAGAAAAAUUCAAGUACCAUACCACAUACCAUUACACACUCUGAUGAACAUUUUCUUUGUUCUGCUAAGAGUUUAAGUUCCUAGGAUUUGGACUUUUAUUUAUUUAUUUGUGGGCAUACAUGUGGGCUCAACAAGUCGGGAAAAUAAAUAUGUAUUGAGGUUUGAAUACAUGAUCUCCCACCCAGCCUGCUUUAUCAAUUUUACUGAAAACUUAACCUUGCAGAAUUUGCACCCAUAAUAUAUAUUAUACUCUUCCACACUCAUCAUUAUUUAUGAUCUCUAAAUUGUUUGCAGGAUUUGGAUCUAUAAUAUAUGUUAUACUCUUCCACUCUUCAUCAAUUAUGAUCUAUAAAUUGCUUGUACGAUUUGGACCCAUAAUAUGUCUUGUACUCUUAUCAUAUUCCUCAAUUCUGAUCCCUCAUAGAAUUUAUUUGAGUGGUCAGAAUGCAAGUCAAAUCUUCUAAAAAAUUUAAAAAUCUUAGCAUUCUAUAUAUGAUCCUCCCAAAAAAAAUAAAAAUGAAUAAAUAAAUAAAUAAAAACACUUCUGAAGAACACUACCGAGCACACACUCAUUCAUUCAUUAUCUUCCCUGCAAAACUUUCCGGAAAAGAUGCAACAAUUUUGAAGUGGGUCAGACUGAUGAUGCACAGCGGUCGACAUUAAUGUUGGGGAUCUUUCGUAUCUUAAAUAGUUACUCAUUAAAAGGACAGCAUCCUUCUUACUGUCUGAGGCUCUCUUCCAGCUUCGAUUAUUUCCUUUAACAAUUGGGUCUUUGGAAUGAAGUCAGAGCAGCCUUGGAAGUAGUUGCAGCUUGCAACUAUAUGUUGACAAUUGAUCUUAAACCAAAAUUCAUAGAAUCCAAGGAGAAAAAAACAGAGAAAGUUGUACCUUGAUGGACAACCACUCCUGAGCCAUGAGAGGAUUGCUAUCAGGGGGUUCAGAAGUUGUGGAAAAAUAAGCAGCAGGUGAUCUUGGUUCUAUACUGAACUUCCUACAAAAUGGUAGCCAAUGUUUUGAGAAGCGAGAGGCCUCCAACAAAGCAUAGAAGGUCAGGUCUGAGCCUCCAUCAUCAGAGAGAUAGACGCUUAGGUUCUGUGAUGGGUAAUUGUAAGCCAUGACUGAUAAAACAGUGUUGAUGACCAUGAUGGGUGGCUCUAUUCUUGGAUCUGCAGUGCACACAAAUAUGUCUAUGCCCGGCAAAACCUCCUCAUAUCUGCAAUGAAAUUUCAGAAUGAGCCAUUAGCAGGUAAAGAUAGGAGCAAGAAGAGGGAGAGAGAUUGAAAAAACCUCUGAGAGAGCCUGUCUUUGAAGGUGUAACGAUAGAUGGGGCUCCAUCUAACAAGCUGAGUGAGAAACCAGUAGAAACUGAACAACAACUCAGAUAGAAACAAUCCCAUCCAAGCCCAUCUUCUUAGCACUUGUGCGCCUGCAGGUGGGAAGUGAACCACCCUGUAAACCCAGAUAAAAAUAAUACCCACAAACAUUGAUGCUGCAUAGCAUCUGAAUAGGAUACGACCCUUUGCAACCUUGGUUUCAAAGAGAGGAAGAUAGCCAUCUCUGCCCAUUUCUACACUGCCUUUCUUCAUUCAUUUCCAUGACCUUAUAGAGUCACAUGACUUCUUUUUUUUUUUUGGUUAUUGGAUUGUUGGAAGGACACCAUUGGCGGAGCCCUUUUUUCGAAAUUUACAGUCCUUGUAUGCUAUACCUCGUCACCAUGUGAAUGGGUAACAUUGGGUGGCCAGGCCAAAGGAUGGUUUUAUUUUUUAAAUAUUUGGAACACAUUUAAAAAUCAAAGAAUUUUGAUCUACGGAAAAUAAAGACUAGUUGAUGUUGGUGUUUGAACCAAAGAGCACUUUGCAGUAUCAUAUUAAAUUCAUUUGUCUAAUAUCAUUUGAAAGCAUGUAAGUUAACAUGGCGGCUAAGUUGUUAUUAAAAAAUGCUUUCACGUAUAUGAAAAAUAUGACUACACCAACACAAAAACAAUAUAAAAAAGAUUAGGAUAAGUUUAGGGUGAAGAAUGUGACUAAGAUAAUAAAACAUAUAUAUGAUUAAAGAUAUAAUGUAGAAUAUAGAUGUUGUCAUAUCCCUAGUAAGGACAAGUUGGCCUUGAAAAUUUGUCUCAAAAAAGCUCAUAUCACCUUCAAAACGUAAGAGAAGGUCCCACAAUCUCUUUCUAAUUUAAAAAUGACUUUUUUAAAACAUAAAUAAUAUAGAUCAAGAUUAAAGUCUCUUUCACAAUGCUUUUGGAAAGUAUUUUUAAUGUAAAAAAAAUGUUUUUUUAAAAAUGAAAUAUUUGGUAAUUUUUAAAAAAAUUUAAAAAUCAUUUGAAAUAUUUUUUAAAGAAAUAUAUGAUAGAUGGUUUUUUUAAAAAAAAUAUUUUUUUAAUAAAAUUUUAAAAAUAUUUUUAAGAAGUUGAAAAUUUUCUUAUAGUGCUUUUUGAAGAAGUAUUUGAUGCUUAAAUUAUUUGAUAGAAAUGGAAAUAUAGAGAAAUAGUAAUAUAGUAUGAUGUAAUAAGAUGUAAAAAAAAAGAGUAAAGUAAUUGGACAAUGUAAAGUCUUACAUAUUCAAAAGUGAGAUUUUGUGGAAAAAUAUUAGUUUGCAAUAGAAAAUAAGGGCAAAAAUAAUGAUGUUGAAUGUGUAAUGUACAGUGAAUAAGGAAUGAUAGAUAAAUAGAAUUUGUGAAAAAAAAAAAAAGAACAAGAAAAAAAUUAAGGAUAUGUGGUUGGACAAGGAAUUGAUGUUUUGAUGUUGUAUGGUAAAGGAGGAAAACAAAAUUUAAAUAUAGAAUUAGUUAUUAUAAGGAUUAAUUAAUAAUAAGGGAUAUAACUUUUUUUAUUUUAUGAUACAUCAUAAUGUCAGGUUUGUAUUAAUGAGAUUUAUUUUAUUUAAUCAACUUAUACUAUAAUAUUUAAUCCUAGCGAACAUGACUUAUUUUAUUAAUUUUUGUUACCUAGCAAGUUGUAUAAGAAUUGAAAAACUUGAACGGGAGUGGUUAUUAGUCUAAUGAUAUCAUUUGAUUGACUUAAUUAUCUCUUGUUCAUCGAAAUCCCAUUAGUUUAUGCAAAUUUGUUUAUAUUUUGUAGGUUGAAAUUUUCAUGAUACUUUGUCCUUUUUUUUUUUCUUUGUUUUUUUCUAAAAACAUCAUCUCUCCUUUUGAAAUGCCCCCUUGUGGCUGCUUUUUGGUCACCUUGAAUGUGGAUAAUAAGAGUCAUCACAUCGUGAGUAGGAAGGCAUCUCAUCUAAUUUUUACCUUCAUUUUGGAUAUGCAAACUAACCAUGUUAGAUAAGCUUUGAGGUUUGGGGUGUCAUAAAUUUCAACAAUAUAAUAGUUUAGAUGGAUUUGCCUUUUUCUCAUGCAUUUCCAGAUGGGCCUCUUGGGGUAAAGUUUUGUGAUGUGGGUUCUCUCCAUGGGUCUUCCAAUUGGCCAUGGUUCCACCAUCUCAUCUUUUUGGUCAAACCUCGAACGUGGCUGGCCACAUCAUUGUUAAACUCAUCCAUCCACCUCUUGGAUGGAAAGGACGAAAACAAGAUUUGACCAUUUUCAGCUCUUGUUUGUCGUUUUAAAGAGAGGGAGACAACACAUCCCUCUACCUCUCGUACUCUCUCAGUCUCUCUCCUCUUCUGUCUCUGCGUCAUGCAUUACCUUACAUUGUUCUACCCAUCGUUUUGAAAUUCGGAUCAGACUCACCGAUUGAACCGCCUUUGAGUUGGACUGGUAUCGAACUAGACGAACUGACGGUCAAAUUGUUGAACUGGACAAAUCGUCCGGUUUUUCAUGAAUGGAUCGGAUCAACUACAUUUGACCAAAACCCCAAUGGGCUUAAGGCGGGCCAAAGCUGCUGAUUGCCCAGGCCCACCAUCCUUCCUCCAGGACAUUUAAAAAACCAAGUUAUCACUGUGCUGUACAACCUUUUCCUUUAUAAUUUAGUAAUGUUUUAUUAAUACUCAUUUCAAAAUUUUAUCCUAUAAACUAUUUAAACAAAUAUUAUUUAGUUAUUUACUUUCAAGUUUAUUUUUUAAAUAAUUAUUAAUUAUAAGUAUGAAAAUACUAUAAUUAAUUAAUACAAUAAUUUUAAAAUAAGAAAAUACAUAAAGUAAACUUAAACAUAUAUUUUAUUUAAUAUAUUUAUAUUUAUCUUUAUAAUAUAAUUUGGUAUAUAAAAUUUUAAAAAUAAAAUAUUAUUAAAAAUGUUAAUUAUAUAUGUUUUUAAUUUUUUAGAAUUAAUUUUAUUUUUAAUAAAAAAUAAACUAUAUAUAUUCAUAACGUUACUAGUUCGACCUUGAUUCGAUCAUUGUUUCGAUCACUGAAUCGUGAAUUGAUAACUUUUUUAGUUCAAUCAUCUAUCCGAGUCUAAAAAUAUUGCUUCACCAAUAUAACGGUACACAUUGGUGAAGGAAAGUCAAACUCCAUGGCUUUAUAAAAAGUCACAAGUCAUGCCUUUAGAUGUGUUGAAAAACUGUGCACGGGAAUUCACUUUCGUCAAUAUUGUCCAAUAAAAAAGAAACAAGCCAUUAAAAUUCAGAUUAGUUCCAAUCGACCUUCCAAGAAACCCUACAUUUUUUUCAUAUUUGUUUACAAUGGCGCCGGUAAUAAUGAACAUAAGCUAAACAGACAUUUCAUUCCCAUGUGCAAGUCUGGCUACCACUGUCACUGCAGUACCUUAAACCUCACCCCCCACGGUGGAGUCAGACCUCAUUAGUUGUUAGUUGUUACAGAGACAAACGACACAACUCAAUGACCCUAAACCAGACCAAAACCCACCAAUACUCGACUUUAAGGUCACUUGCACAAACGAGGCACUUCAUAGUUAGCUAAAUCUGUGAGUGUUUAACUAGGUUGAUAAUUCUGUACAAAAUUUCUAAUUAUCCCUUAACUCGGUUUUUCAAUUCCUUUUUGGACUACUUGACUUUGAAGAUUAAGACAUUACUAAGAAGUAGCCGAGUGUGUGGUGAUUGAAUGUGAAUCAACCCUAUUUUUCAUCUUUAAAAGAGUUAAGAAAGUUGGAAGAAAUGUUUUUUGAUGAAAGACUUUUGUUCUCCUGUUUUAAGAUCGAUCUAGGUGCAAAGGUAGAUUGAUCUAACUAACCUAUUUUUAAGACCAAUAUUUAGCCCUUGGAUUAAGGGUUUCAUUCUUAUUUAAAACUAAAUUUCUCCCAUUUCUAGAGAUGGUGACUACGACAGCUAUGAGAGAGUCAUUCUUUCCUCACCAUUUUGAGGGUGUUUGCCUCAUAAGAAAAUCCCGUCAGUUUUUUAAGAAAUUUUUUAAAAUGGAUUUUUUGAAAAUGAAUUGGGUUGAUUUCUAAAACAUUCAUCUCUCAUUCUCUUAAUUUUUGUACAAAAACCUAUUUUAUUUGUAUUUUUGAGAUUGUGUGAAGAAAAAAAAAAAAAAAUUAAAGUUUUUUAAUUUGAUUUGAAAAUUUUUUUUAAUAGGUCAAAAACACCUAUUCAUGCCAUUUAGCUGUAUUCCAAGAUUCACCUAUUCAACAUCAUUUUCCCUCUCUUCCUCCUUGCAUAUAAAGCAAAGAGCCCACGUUUGCAAUCAUCUCAAAGCAUCAAAUCAGUCGUCAAUCGAAAAUUUUUUUGUUGGGUUACAUAAAUUCCCUCCAUUUACAGCUUUGUAUCUGUUUUUUUGCAACCCCACUAAGUCAAAGCCAUGUUUCUUCAGUUUUCCUUACAAAGAAAGGUUAAAAAACAACACCUAGGAGAUGAUCACCGUGCGUCUGCUAGGUCUAGGGUCUUGAGUUUUUUGGCUAUUGCAUGUGGGGUUGUAGGGUUGGUUGUGGAGACAGUGGAAUGGCUAUUGUUUGUAACUCGUACAAGACUGAAAACAAAAGACUCGUGAAACAGUGCCAAUGAUGUCAUAGACUUGUCUCUCUGACAAAAUAAAUAAAUCUUCUUGAGAGCAAUUCUUAAUUAAAUUGAUUCCGUGCAGUUGGUGGCAAUAUUUUUUGGGGUAGUCGAUAGAGAAAUUUUGGGUGAGAGAAGUGUCGAAGCCUUCUUGGCUUCCUAUUUAUUUAUUUAGUUAUUUAUUUUUGGAUUCUUGGUGGGCUUUUAGAGGUCUUGGAGAUUGGUACAUGUAAAUUGGGAGCCCCAUGUUGUGAUACUUCCCUUAUUGUAUGUCCUUUUGGGAUGUGGCUGAAUUGAUUUCCAAUCAGUUCUGUGAUCUCUCUCUGGCUUUUGGCAGUUGAGCCUGCAGUUAAUUAAUGAUGAUUCAGAGUGGUGUAAGAGGGUGAUUGAUUAAUGUGUACCUGCAUGUCAGUGAUGAUCUAAUUUCUGAAGAAAGUAUAUCUGCCAUUAUCUCUAAUACAGCUAAAUAGGUGAAUCACACUCCUAGAUGGAAAGUGCUUUGCUCACUGGCAAAAUCAUUCUGGCAAGGCACAAGGGCAAAACACCUCUAAUUUUGUUUCAAAGAGAGGAAGAUAGCCAUCUUUGCCCAUUGCUUGUCUUUCUCUGACCAUCAUGUGAUUAGCUUAUAUAAAUAGUAUGGUUUGCAUUUUUCAUUUUCUUGUUGUUAUGGUCAAAACUUUGCCAGUCACGGGCACUUCAAAUGGCAUCAAUCAAAGAAAGGAGUAAAAACAAAUAAUCCCAUCCGAGCCCACCCACUUUCCUCUUGUAAAUGACCCAAGCACAAACAGAACAAGCACCCAGAGAUUUGACCCUUUUCAGCCCUUGUUUCAAACAGAGGAAGAGAAAUAUCCCUCUAGCUCUCAUACUCUCCCUCUGCUGUCUCAUGCAUUACCUUAUAUAGUUCUACCGGCCCACUGCAUCUUUUAAAUGCAAGAAUGUUUUAACAAGGAGACAAGGGAUAUUCAAGGUUUAAGCAUGCUCUUCAUGCACAAACUGAGUUCAUGUCCUCAUUCUUUUUUCCUUUACCUAAAAAUUUGCAAUUUCUGGACUCUCGAGUGACACCCUGAUGAACAGAGGUUUAAGCAAGAGACUUGUAACAAAUUAAAAUGUGUACAUGAUUAAUAUCUGAGCCUUCAUACCUGGAAAAACAUAUACUAUCCAUGAUUGAAAGUUGAAAUUGCAUCAAUCAUACAUAUAUAACAGUUCUUCAGAGCCUUAUAUAAGACUUAUAAAGUUUUGGUAAAGAGACUUCUUACUGAUACAGUAAACUAAUACAAGGCUAUUGAACAGGCCAACAGCGCUAAAGAAACUGAUUUGUAUGUGACAGAGGUUGGCAUGGCGCCCUUGUCCUUGCGGAAAAAGAGCCCUUGGAAUACAGGCAGAUUGAUGAGAACAAGAAGCCCACAUAAGAUAAUCUGCAGAGCUAAUGACUCUAAAGUUUUAAUUUGAAUAUCCACAACCACCCUCUUUACACAGAAGGCAAAACUGAACAGAUUGAGCAUUGCAAGUGUUGCUAAAAUGGUAAACAUUGGUGAAGGAGAGCCAAACUCCAUGAUUUCUUGUUCGUAUCUUCGAGACACAUCUUCAUCACACACCUUUGCAGUGACAGCAAAAGUGGUCUCAGCAAAGCCUAGUAUCCUCAAGAUCGUAUCGAGGAAGCCAAAGAAGUAGGAAGUUGUCCUUCUGAACAUCCGUAUUCUUUGAUCAUUCCACCAACCUUGGAUUGUGCCAUCAAGCCAAAGAAACUCACCUAAGCUGUAUGCAUUCUUGGCGAUAAUGACAUAGGCAAAGGGAAGGACCCACAGGCUCCAUAUCUGAACAAGUAACAUAAUUCAUUGCUGGGAACAAAAUAGAAUUUCAAUUGUUCGGGUACAGCAAAAUAUCAUGCCAGGACUUCUCUUUUCUAAAAUAGAACAAGAAAAUCUCACAGUUUAUUUAAUUUUUUUUUUUGAAGUAUUUAGGAAAAUUUAUCAUGUUCAGAAACUAAAUUUAUUGAAAACAAUUUGAGAAAUUUUGCUAGCUGGUGAUCAUACACUAUGGAACUAUGUAGCCUGUGCUUGACAUCAAGUAUUUUGCAGUUCUGUACCACUCUUAAAGUUUUUAAGUUUGGAACUAUUCGUUUCAACGAUGUAAUGUUCAUACCUCUGGAAACAAGGAGAUGCCUCCAAGGAGACAAAGGUAUGGGACGGCAACAUAGUAUAGCAUAGCCAAGUAGUAUGCAGCCCGCAGAUUAUAGAUAGAGUAUGAGAGUUGAAGUUUCAGAGGAACCUUUCUGUAUCCAAAUAUAAGUGGACAGUGCCUUGAGAGGAAGAUCUGAAGGUUGCCUUCAGACCAUCUCUUAUGUUGUACUAGUGACUGCAACAGUGUUGUGGGCGCAACACCCAAGAAGCCCUUCCUUUCUGGAUUGAAAUACAUGGAUUUCCAACCUCUACAUUGUAUUGAUAAUCCUGUGAUAGUGUCUUCCACUACACAGUCAUACUUCAAACCCAUCUGCAAUUCAACAUAAAGAUUAAGUUUUUGAGGCGAAGAAAAAGGAAAAAACUUUACAGGAAAUUCAUGAGGCAGAGACAGAAGAACCUCUUUUCCCCGUUAAGCCUAUCGAUAUUUUUUUUUAAAUAUUCUUCGAUAUAUCUCCAAUAUAUCCGAUAUAUCCAUAAUUAUCGAUAUUUUCAUCAUUGAUUAUAUAUUUAAAUAUAAAAUAAUAAUAAAAACUUUUACAUUUCAGUGAUAUAGAAUAUACUAAAGAAAUUAGAGUCGUGUUGAAAGCCUAAAAAUUACUAUAAGAAAAGCUCAUGUCACCUUCAAAAUGUAAGAGAAGGUUCCACAAUUUAAUUUUUUUUUUCAAAACACAAAUAAUAGAUCCAAGAAAAUAUUAAAAGUCUCUUUCACAGUGCUUUUAAAAAUUAUUUUUAAUAUAAAAUAAAUGUUUUUAAAAAAAUUAAACAUAUAAAAUUUUAAAAAUAUUUCAAAUAUUUUUUUAGAGAAGUAUUUGAUAUUUGAUUCUCUAAAAAAAAUAUUUAUAGAAAAAAAGCUUUUAUUAAAAAUACUUUAAAUAAAAAUAUUGUAAACACACUAUAAAUUAAUUUUUUUCUUUGGUGUAUUGUGUAGAAAGACCAAUAAAUGACAGCACAUGGGGAUUUUUAAACGUUGGGGAUUUUGUGGAGAAAUCAAAACUUUUAUUAUAAGCUAAAUUUGUCAUAAUUAUUCAAAACAAAUGGUCUUCUUUUUCUGUGCCAUCUCUGCCCCUCUCCAUUUCCCACACAACAUCUCAGUUUCAAUUCACCUUCAUACGACACUAAGGGGUAAUAUUGACUUUUCACAUCAAUUUGUAAGAACCCUAACAUGAGCUAAGGGAAUUAGCCACAUCAAUAAUGGGAUUAAAUCUCAGUAUUGAUGGUGGAAAUACAAUUUUACCCAAAAAAAAAAAGAAAGUAUUUUUAAAUUAAAUGUCAUUAAAAAAAUAAACAGAUAGGAUGAUGAUUCUAGUUUCUGAUUUAACCUUAGUGGACAAAACUUAUAUUAUUUUACCUAGUUGUAUGAGAAUAAAAAAACUUCUAUCCAAGUUCUAACACCAUGAAUUCACUUUAAAAAUGAAUAUCUUUAAUUUUUAUCUUUAUAUUGGAUAUGCAAACUUAGGCUUUGAGACUUAGGGUGUCACAAAUUUCAACUAUAUCAUAGUUUAACUACCAUUUUUGUUUUGGCAGGUAGACCUUCAAUUUCAAAGUUCAUAAAAAAUUGAAGAAGAAGAAGAAGAGGAACAACCCUAAUUUUUCUUUUGUUUUCUCUAUCUAUAUCAUGUUUGCAUUAGAAAAUCAAGCUCUAUAAAAUAGUUGAUGGGUGGUUUCUCCACUGGUGCUAAGGACGAAUUCUUAAUUAUUGGCUUUUGUAUAUACAAAUAAAGAUUUCAUUACAAGCAAUCUUUAGGUUGAUCUGUCGUCCUUUUCUUUUCAUAUAUAAGCAUCCAUCUUGUUUUUUGUUGAAACAGAAACUUUGGGUUGCAUGAUUGUGGAUUUUCCUCAUGCAUUUCCAAAUGGACCUCUUGGGGUCAAGCUUUGUGAUGUGGGUCUUUCAAUUAGUUCAGGAAAUAGAUUCUGACACUCAGGUUUAUGGUCAAAGCUGCACCUGGCCGGCCCCAUCACUGUUAAACUCGAAUGGUAUCAAUGGACAGAAAGGACGAAAACAAGAUUUGGCCCUUUUCAGCCCUUGUUUCAAAGAGAGGAAGGCAAGACAUCCCUCUACCUCUCAUACGCUCUCUCCUAUUCUGUCUCAUGCAUUACCUUACAUAGUUCUACCAACCAAUGCCUACUGCUUCAUUCAAAUGCAAGAAUAUUUCUAACAAGGAGACUUAGGAUAUUCAAGGUUUAAGCAUCCUCCUCAUGCACUGAGUUCACGUCCUCACUCUUCUUUUAUCCUUUCACAUUAAAUUUGCAAUUUGUGGAUUCUCUAGUGACAAUUUGAUGUACAGGGUUUAAGCAAGAGGCUCUUGUAACAAAUUAAAAUGCAUCUGAGCCUUUAUACGUGGAUAAGCAUAUACUUACAACUGUUGAAACUUCAUAUAUAGUUGUGGCAAAGAGACUUUGCUUACUGAUACAGUAGACUAAUACAAGACUAUUGAACAGGCCAACAGCGCUAAAGAAAUCGAUUCAUAUGUGACAGAGGUUGGCAUGGCUCCCUUGUCCUUGCGGAAAAAGAGCCCUUGGUAUACAGGCAGGUUUAUGAGAACAAGAAGCCCACAUAAGAUAAUCUGCAGAGCUAAUGACUCUAAAGCUUUAAUUUGAAUAUCCACAACCACCCUCUUUACACAGGAAACAAAACUGAACAGAUUGAGCAUUGCAAGUGUGGAUAUAAUGGUAAACAUUGGUGAAGGACAGCCAAACUCCAUGACUUCUUGCUCGUAUCUUCGAGACACAUCUUCAUCAGACACCUUUGCAGUAACUACAAAAGUGUUCUCAGCAAAGCCUACUAGCUUCAAGAUUGUAUCAAGGAAGGCAAAGAAGUAGGAAGUUGUCCUUCUAAACAGCCAUACUCUUUGGUCA